GACGAACGCUGGCGGCGUGCUUAACACAUGCAAGUCGAACGGAAAGGCCUCUUUCGGGGGGUACUCGAGUGGCGAACGGGUGAGUAACACGUGAGUAACCUGCCCUUGACUUUGGGAUAACUUCAGGAAACUGGGGCUAAUACCGGAUAGGAGCUCCUGCUGCAUGGUGGGGGUUGGAAAGUUUCGGCGGUUGGGGAUGGACUCGCGGCUUAUCAGCUUGUUGGUGGGGUAGUGGCUUACCAAGGCUUUGACGGGUAGCCGGCCUGAGAGGGUGACCGGCCACAUUGUGACUGAGAUACGGCCCAGACUCCUACGGGAGGCAGCAGUGGGGAAUAUUACACAAUGGGUGGAAGCCUGAUGCAGCAACGCCGUGUGCGGGAUGACGGCCUUCGGGUUGUAAACCGCUUUCGCUCAUGACGAAGCUUUGUGUGACGGUAGUGGGUAAAGAAGCACCGGCUAACUACGUG
rnacentral:rRNA from 1 species